UAUGCUUGGACCAGCAUGUCACUCCUAGCUACUUCCUGGGUAUAUCAGUAUGGACCAGCAUGUCACUCCUAGCUACUUCCUGGGUAUAUCAGUAUGGACCAGCAUGUCACUCCUAGCUACUUCCUGGGUAUAUCAGUAUGCUUGGACCAGCAUGUCACUCCUAGCUACUUCCUGGGUAUAUCAGUAUGGACCAGCAUGUCACUCCUAGCUACUUCCUGGGUAUAUCAGUAUGGACCAGCAUGUCACUCCUAGCUACUUCCUGGCAUCCAAACAUGACAUUGAAUGGAAUGAUGGCACAACACUGAUCUGGGAGCAGCAGGUUAGUUAGACACUGAUCUGGGAGCAGCAGGUUAGACACUGAUCUGGGAGCAGCAGGUUAGACACUGAUCUGGGAGCAGCAGGUUAGACACUGAUCGAGGAGCAGCAGGUUAGACACUGAUCUGGGAGCAGCAGGUUAGACACUGAUCUGGGAGCAGCAGGUUAGACACUGAUCUGGGAGCAGCAGGUUAGACACUGAUCUGGGAGCAGCAGGUUAGACACUGAUCUGGGAGCAGCAGGUUAGACACUGAUCUAGGAGCAGCAGGUUAGACACUGAUCUAGGAGCAGCAGGUUAGACACUGAUCUGGGAGCAGCAGGUUAGACACUGAUCUAGGAGCAGCAGGUUAGACACUGAUCUGGGAGCAGCAGGUUAGACACUGAUCUAGGAGCAGCAGGUUAGACACUGAUCUGGGAGCAGCAGACACUGAUCUGGGAGCAGCAGGUUAGACACUGAUCUGGGAGCAGCAGGUUAGUUAGACACUGAUCUGGGAGCAGCAGGUUAGAGACUGAUCUGGGAGCAGCAGGUUAGACACUGAUCUGGGAGCAGCAGGUUAGAGACUGAUCUGGGAGCAGCAGGUUAGACACUGAUCUGGGAGCAGCAGGUUAGUUAGACACUGAUCUGGGAGCAGCAGGUUAGAGACUGAUCUGGGAGCAGCAGGUUAGACACUGAUCUGGGAGCAGCAGGUUAGUUAGACACUGAUCUGGGAGCAGCAGGUUAGUUAGACACUGAUCUGGGAGCAGCAGGUUAGUUAGACACUGAUCUGGGAGCAGCAGAUUAGACACUGAUCUGGGAGGAGCAGGUUAGACACUGAUCUGGGAGCAGCAGGUUAGAGACUGAUCUGGGAGCAGCAGGUUAGAGACUGAUCUGGGAGCAGCAGGUUAGAGACUGAUCUGGGAGCAGCAGGUUAGAGACUGAUCUGGGAGCAGCAGGUUAGAGACUGAUCUGGGAGCAGCAGGUUAGACACUGAUCUGGGAGCAGCAGGUUAGACACUGAUCUGGGAGCAGCAGGUUAGACACUGAUCUGGGAGCAGCAGGUUAGACACUGAUCUGGGAGCAGCAGGUUAGACACUGAUCUGGGAGCAGCAGGUUAGAGACUGAUCUGGGAGCAGCAGGUUAGACACUGAUCUGGGAGCAGCAGGUUAGAGACUGAUCUGGGAGCAGCAGGUUAGACACUGAUCUGGGAGCAGCAGGUUAGUUAGACACUGAUCUGGGAGCAGCAGGUUAGUUAGACACUGAUCUGGGAGCAGCAGGUUAGACACUGAUCUGGGAGCAGCAGGUUAGACACUGAUCUGGGAGCAGCAGGUUAGUUAGACACUGAUCUGGGAGCAGCAGGUUAGACACUGAUCUAGGAGCAGCAGGUUAGUUAGACACUGAUCUAGGAGCAGCAGGUUAGACACUGAUCUGGGAGCAGCAGGUUAGAGACUGAUCUGGGAGCAGCAGGUUAGACACUGAUCUAGGAGCAGCAGGUUAGACACUGAUCUAGGAGCAGCAGGUUAGUUAGACACUGAUCUGGGAGCAGCAGGUUAGACACUGAUCUAGGAGCAGCAGGUUAGUUAGACACUGAUCUAGGAGCAGCAGGUUAGACACUGAUCUGGGAGCAGCAGGUUAGAGACUGAUCUAGGAGCAGCAGGUUAGUUAGACACUGAUCUGGGAGCAGCAGGUUAGUUAGACACUGAUCUGGGAGCAGCAGGUUAGACACUGAUCUGGGAGCAGCAGGUUAGUUAGACACUGAUCUGGGAGCAGCAGGUUAGUUAGACACUGAUCUAGGAGCAGCAGGUUAGAGACUGAUCUGGGAGCAGCAGGUUAGACACUGAUCUAGGAGCAGCAGGUUAGUUAGACACUGAUCUGGGAGCAGCAGGUUAGACACUGAUCUGGGAGCAGCAGGUUAGUUAGACACUGAUCUGGGAGCAGCAGGUUAGACACUGAUAUGGGAGCAGCAGGUUAGACACUGAUCUAGGAGCAGCAGGUUAGUUAGACACUGAUCUGGGAGCAGCAGGUUAGACACUGAUCUGGGAGCAGCAGGUUAGUUAGACACUGAUCUGGGAGCAGCAGGUUAGACACUGAUCUGGGAGCAGCAGGUUAGACACUGAUCUGGGAGCAGCAGGUUAGACACUGAUCUGGGAGCAGCAGGUUAGUUAGACACUGAUCUGGGAGCAGCAGGUUAGACACUGAUCUGGGAGCAGCAGACACUGAUCUGGGAGCAGCAGGUUAGACACUGAUCUAGGAGCAGCAGGUUAGUUAGACACUGAUCUGGGAGCAGCAGGUUAGACACUGAUCUGGGAGCAGCAGGUUAGUUAGACACUGAUCUGGGAGCAGCAGGUUAGACACUGAUCUGGGAGCAGCAGGUUAGACACUGAUCUGGGAGCAGCAGGUUAGUUAGACACUGAUCUGGGAGCAGCAGGUUAGACACUGAUCUGGGAGCAGCAGACACUGAUCUGGGAGCAGCAGGUUAGCGUUUGGUGCCAGUGGUUAGUUUGCUGAAGUGUAGUGUAUAUCUGUUGCUCGGGGUCACUGUCCCCCUUUAACACCAAGCAUGAGGCCUAAAGGCAGCGACGGACUCGGGUAACGAACUACUGAAACAGAAGAGAACCCCGUUCUAUCUGCGAUGUGACCCGUUUUGUCUUGUCAAACUCAGUGGAUGAGGUCUUCGAUUCUGUCCUCCCCCCCCUGAGGUCUUCGAGAUUUGAUCGAUUCUGCCCCCCCCCCCAAAAAAACCAACGUCAAAACGUCCUUGUCAAUAUUGUGUGAAGUCUUAUGGUGUUGUAAGUGUUGAUGAUGAUGAUAUUGAUGAUGAUGAUAUUGAUGAUGAUGAUAUUGAUGAUCAUGAUAUUGAUAAUGAUGAUAUUGAUGAUAAUGAUGAUAUUGAUGAUGAUGAUCAUGAUAUUGAUGAUGAUGAUCAUGAUAUUGAUGAUGAUGAUCAUGAUAUUGAUGAUGAUGAUGAUAUUGAUGAUGAUGAUCAUGAUAUUGAUGAUGAUGAUCAUGAUAUUGAUGAUGAUGAUCAUGAUAUUGAUGAUGAUGAUCAUGAUAUUGAUGAUGAUGAUAUUGAUGAUGAUGAUAUUGAUGAUGAUGAUGAUAUUGAUGAUGAUCAUGAUAUUGAUGAUGAUCAUGAUAUUGAUGAUGAUGAUGAUGAUCAUGAUAUUGAUGAUGAUGAUCAUGAUAUUGAUGAUGAUGAUCAUGAUAUUGAUGAUGAUGAUAUUGAUGAUGAUGAUAUUGAUGAUGAUGAUAUUGAUGAUGAUGAUGAUAUUGAUGAUGAUCAUGAUAUUGAUGAUGAUGAUGAUAUUGAUGAUGAUGAUGAUAUUGAUGAUGAUGAUGGUGGUGAACCCAGAAGUAACUGUAACGUGGGCUUGUUGAGUGUUGCAUGGUUUCAGAUCUCUUCUUUCUUUAAAGACUGGUUUACUGUCA